GGAAAGGACGUGCGAGCGGGGGGGGAAAGGCGUGGGGGGGGUGCGUGGUCGGGAAUGUAUGGGGGUGAGGGUGUCGGUGGUGGUUGGUGGCUGUGUGGGUGAAAGAGCGCAGCUGGAGGGGGGGGGGGCGGGCGAGAGGGGCAGACUGGAGGACUGCAGGGGAGACUGGAAUUCCGGGUGUAGCGGGGGAAUGAGCAGAUAUCAGGAGGAACACCGGUGGCGAAGGCGGGUCUCUGGGCAGUAACUGACGCUGAGGAGCGAAAGCGUGGGGAGCGAACAGGAUUAGAUACCCUGGUAGUC
rnacentral:rRNA from 1 species